AAAGGAUGAGAUUGUAUGGUUGUAGACGUGGAGACUAACUUGUAACUAAGCUUCAAAGAAUUGGUUGAACUAUCUAUUUGAAAAUCCUCUACAAGAAUAUCAACCAACGCGUGAUAGGUAAUGUGCUCAUCAAUGAGCACUAAAGAAGCUCCCAAUUCAAUGUCUAAUUCAAAUUCCCAAGUCAUAUUGUUUGUCAACUUCCACAAGCCACAAACAGAAUACAAUUCUAGCAUUAUAACCUGAUAAGAUAAAUAACAACAAAAUCAACACCCACAAAAACACUGUCACUACAGAGAGAAGCAAGGUUUAUAAAUCGUUUUAAAGAGUAAGUAAGUAGCAUAGAAUAAUUUACAAGGGAUUUUAAAAGCUUUGAAAAGUGGUUAACAUGGUUUACAAAUCGUUUUAAAGAGUAAGUAAGUAGCAUAGAAUAAUUUACAAGGGAUUUUAAAAGCUUUGAAAAGUGGUUAACAUGGUUUACAAAUUGUUUUAAAGCGUAAGUAAGUAGCAUAGAAUAAUUUACAAGGGAUUUUAAAAGCUUUGAAAAUUGGUUAACAUGGUUUACAAAUCGUUUUAAAGCGUAAGUAGCAUAGAAUAAUUUACAAGGGAUUUUAAAAACUUUGAAAAGUGGUUAACAUGCUUUACAAAUCGUUUUAAAGCGUAAGUGGCAUAGAUCUAUCACGAAAGCAUAUGCAAAAGAGGUAAACACUAAAUCAGAACCAAAAUCUAUUACGAAAUAGUAUAACGAAUUCACAUAAGCAAAUCUAUCACGAAACAGUAUAACGAAUUCAAAAGGAUUUUAGAACAGUAUAACGAAUGUACAAGGAUUUUAGAAACAAAUUCAAUCAUCAAAUCUCAAACAAAAUUCAAAUUCGAAGCUGAAGCAAAUGUCAAACUGUCGAUUGAAUCAGGAUUUAAAUAACGAGUUCACAUAAUCAACAACAAAAAUCGAAUAAACCAAUUCGAAAACGAAGAUUUAAGCUAACAUUAUAAAAUCAAACCUGGGAAACGCAAGAGAUUCGACGGCGACACACAGCUCUACUUACGACGGCGAAGAUGGGUUUUCACUGCGAGUAAACUCAUUAUUUCUGACGGCAUGGGAUUCAACGGCAUUCACAAUUUCCGAUGGAGGAAGAAGAGAGAGAGUGAAGAAAUGAAUUAGGUCUAUGGGUCGCUAAUUAAGGGUAAUUUGGGGAGAAAAAUAGGAAAGCUAAAGCAUGAUUGUUUCAAUUUUAGGACUGUAACUUUUUUAGUGCCUUUAACAAUUUCUUACAGCCCAACCAAUCAUAACCUUAAGUUAAUUUUUACAAAAAAUAAUUAUUAAAGUUACCUUAGUAUUUAUAACGAAAAAUUUUAUAAGACUCAAUUU
rnacentral:sRNA from 1 species